rnacentral:rRNA from 1 species
ACUUUCGAUGGUAGGAUAGAGGCCUACCAUGGGUGGUAACGGGGUAACGGGGUGUUAGGNCACGACACCGGAGAGGGAGCCUGAGAAACGGCUACCACAUCCAAGGAUGGCAGCAGGCGCGCAAAUUACCCAAUCCCGACACGGGGAGGUAGUGACAAUAAAUAACAAUACGGGGUUCUUUCGGAUUUCGUAAUUGGAAUGAGUACAAUUUAAAUCUCUUAACGAGGAACAAUUGGAGGGCAAGUCUGGUGCCAGCAGCCGCGGUAAUUCCAGCUCCAAUAGCGUAUAUUAAAGUUGCUGCAGUUAAAAAGCUCGUAGUUGAAUUUCGGGACCAAUAUGUCGGUCGUGCCUCGGUACGUACUGGCAUCGUUGGUUUCUCCCUUCUGAAGAACCAUGAUGUCAUUUAUUUGGUGUCGUGGGGAAUCAGGACUGUUACUUUGAAAAAAUUAGAGUGUUUAAAGCAGGCUCACGCUUGAAUACAUUAGCAUGGAAUAAUGAAAUAGGACGUUUGAUUCUAUUUUGUUGGUUUCUAGGAUCGACGUAAUGAUUAAUAGGGAUAGUUGGGGGCAUUAGUAUUCAAUUGUCAGAGGUGAAAUUCUUGGAUUUAUUGAAGACUAACUACUGCGAAAGCAUUUGCCAAGGAUGUUUUCAUUAAUCAAGAACGAAAGUUAGGGGAUCGAAGACGAUCAGAUACCGUCGUAGUCUUAACCAUAAACUAUGCCGACUAGGGAUCGGAUGAUGUUAAUUUUUUAAUGACUNNUNCGGCGCCUUACGGGAAACCAAAGUGUUUGGGUUC